UCAGUAACGGCGAGUGAAGCGGCAAAAGCUCAAAUUUGAAAUCUGAGCUGCUUUUUUAGUAGUCCGAGUUGUAAUUUGAAGAAUAGAUCCUUGGAGAGGCGCCUUGUCUAUGUUCCUUGGAACAGGACGUCGCAGAGGGUGAGAAUCCCGUUUGGCGAGGUGUGCUGAUCCGUGUAAGGGCUGUUCGACGAGUCGAGUUGUUUGGGAAUGCAGCUCUAAGUGGGUGGUAAAUUCCAUCUAAAGCUAAAUAUUGGCGAGAGACCGAUAGCGAACAAGUACAGUGAUGGAAAGAUGAAAAGAACUUUGAAAAGAGAGUGAAAAAGUACGUGAAAUUGUUGAAAGGGAAGGUUAUUAGAUCAGACUUGGAUUUUUUAUUAUAUUUGUCUCCUUGUGGGGCAUUCACUAAUUUUUAAUCCAGGCCAGCAUCGAUUGGGAUGGCGGGAAAAAGAGGGAGGAACGUGGCUGUGCAUUUAUGUGCAGUGUUUAUAGCCUUUCUUAAUACCG
rnacentral:rRNA from 1 species